UACGGAGGGGGCUAGCGUUGUUCGGAAUUACUGGGCGUAAAGAGCGUGUAGGCGGCCAGAAAAGUCCGCUGUGAAAACUCGAGGCUCAACUUCGAGCUGUCGGUGGAAACUUUCUGGCUAGAGUCCGGAAGAGGAGAAUGGAAUUCCUGGUGUAGCGGUGAAAUGCGCAGAUAUCAGGAAGAACACCCGUGGCGAAGGCGGUUCUCUGGGACGGUACUGACGCUGAGACGCGAAAGCGUGGGGAGCGAACAGG
rnacentral:rRNA from 1 species